CUAACAUCAUUGGUACGUCCUCUACAAGUAGGCUUAAAGCUCCAGCUCGGCUAAUUCAAUUUUCUUGCACAACGAAGUCCUUCAAGAUCAUAACAGUUUUUAAAAAGGAAAUGACAAUUUAACAUAUUAUUCGUUUGUUUUAAUACCGUUCAUAUAACUCGGUUUCCAGGCUUCAAAAACUCAACAAUGCAAUAAAUUAUUUUGUAGCCGUGUUGUAAGAAGAUCCCUAAACACAUUUACGUUCGCCGAAUUUUUAAGGACAUCGAGCUGUCAGCGGAAUUUGCCCCUCGUAUAACUUUCAAGAACAUAACCCAAAUUGUAAGAUGGACGAUACUGAGAUUUCUUUACGUCUUAAUAAUUAUACCCUGAAGAACUUAAACCAUGUGUAAAUUGUGUUUUAAGAGGGGGACUGGUUGUUUGGCCACAUGAUGACCUCUACUGUGCUUUGUAUUUCCUAAAUUCAAAGUUUCUGAAGGCCAUUUGAUUUAGAUCUCUCAGACAGGAUUGGUGUGAGCUAGAUAUAUGUGUGCAAGAUAAUAGUUAUAGACGUUUUAAUUUAUGCAUAAAGAAAAGUUGUUCGUAAUCUGUGUUCUAAAACUACAAAGUUUUAUGA